GCCAGCAUGGCAUAGUGGCUUGAGUAUUGGACUAUGACUCCGGAGACCAGGGUUCAAUUCCCCACUCAGUCA